UACGUAGGGGGCAAGCGUUGUCCGGAAUUAUUGGGCGUAAAGAGCGCGUAGGCGGUCCGAUAAGUCGGCUGUGAAAGUCAAGGGCUCAACCCUUGAAUGCCGGCCGAUACUGUCAGGCUAGAGUCCGGAAGAGGCGAGUGGAAUUCCUGGUGUAGCGGUGAAAUGCGCAGAUAUCAGGAGGAACACCUAUGGCGAAGGCAGCUCGCUGGGACGGUACUGACGCUGAGACGCGAAAGCCAGGGGAGCAAACGGG
rnacentral:rRNA from 1 species